rnacentral:rRNA from 1 species
GUACCAUGCAGUCAGAACGGUGAGCUCAGCUUGCUGGGUGGAUCAGUGGCAAACGGGUGAGUAACACGUGAGCAACCUGCCCUCCACUUCGGGAUAAGCCUUGGAAACGGGGUCUAAUACCGGAUAUGAGCACUCAUCGCAUGGUGGGUGUUGGAAAGUUUUUCGGUGGGGGAUGGGCUCGCGGCCUAGGGCUUGUUGGUGGGGUGAUGGCCUACCAAGGCGUCAACGGGUAUUGGGCCAUAUAGGUC